CCUACGGGAGGCUGCAGUGGGGAAUAUUGGGCAAUGGGCGCAAGCCUUACCCAGCAAUACCGCGUGAGUGAAGAAGGUCUUCGGAUUGUAAAGCUCUUUGAUCAGGGACGAACAGAUGACGGUACCUGAAGAACAAGCCCCGGCUAACUACGUGCCAGCAGCCGCGGUAAUACGGAGGAUGCGAGCGUUAUCCGGAUUUAUUGGGUUUAAAGGGUGCGCAGGCGGAGGUGCAAGUCAGCGGUCAAAUUGCGGGGCUCAACCCCGUACUGCCGUUGAAACUGCAUCCCUUGAGUGCGCGAGAAGUAUGCGGAAUGCGUGGUGUAGCGGUGAAAUGCAUAGAUAUCACGCAGAACUCCGAUUGCGAAGGCAGCAUACCGGCGCGCAACUGACGCUCAUGCACGAAAGCGUGGGUAUCGAACAGGAUUAGAUACCCGUGUAGUC
rnacentral:rRNA from 1 species